rnacentral:rRNA from 1 species
AACGUAGGUGGCAAGCGUUAUCCGGAUUUACUGGGCGUAAAGGGUGUGCAGGCGGUCUGUCAAGUGGUGUAUGAAAGCGUCCGGCUCAACCGGGCAAGGCUAUGCCAGACUGGCAGACUCGAGACUGAACGAGGGUGGUGGAAUUCCGGGUGUAGUGGUGAAAUGCGUAGAGAUCCGGAGGAACCCCAGAGGCGAAGGCGGCCACCUGGGUCAGUUCUGACGCUCAGACACGACAGCAUGGGGAGCGAACGGG